UNCUGUUUCAUAAGCCAUGGACUCUGUA
rnacentral:piRNA from 1 species